UACGGAAGGGGCUAGCGUUGUUCGGAAUUACUGGGCGUAAAGCGCACGUAGGCGGACUCUUAAGUCAGGGGUGAAAUCCCGGGGCUCAACCUCGGAACUGCCUUUGAUACUGUGAGUCUCGAGACCGGAAGAGGUGAGUGGAAUUCCUAGUGUAGAGGUGAAAUUCGUAGAUAUUAGGAAGAACACCAGUGGCGAAGGUGGCUCACUGGUCCGGUUCUGACGCUGAGGUGCGAAAGCGUGGCGAGCAAUCAGG
rnacentral:rRNA from 1 species